CCUACGGGGGGCAGCAGUGAGGAAUAUUGGUCAAUGGGCGCGAGCCUGAACCAGCCAAGUCGCGUGAGGGAAGACGGUCCUAUGGAUUGUAAACCUCUUUUGUCGGGGAGCAAAAGACGCCACGCGUGGCGUUCCGAGAGUACCCGAAGAAAAAGCAUCGGCUAACUCCGUGCCAGCAGCCGCGGUAAUACGGAGGAUGCGAGCGUUAUCCGGAUUUAUUGGGUUUAAAGGGUGCGCAGGCGGAGGUGCAAGUCAGCGGUAAAAUUGCGGGGCUCAACCCCGUACUGCCGUUGAAACUGAAGCCCUUGAGUGCGCGAGAAGUAUGCGGAAUGCGUGGUGUAGCGGUGAAAUGCAUAGAUAUCACGCAGAACUCCGAUUGCGAAGGCAGCAUACCGGCGCGCAACUGACGCUCAUGCACGAAAGCGUGGGUAUCGAACAGGAUUAGAUACCCGUGUAGUC
rnacentral:rRNA from 1 species